CCUGGUGCAUCUGACAGUGUAGUGCUUACUCUAAGAGUUACAACUGCAGACAUCAAACUGUCCAGCUCAUGGGGAAGAUGAUCUGGAUGCAAUGUACUCAGUGGUUCAGAAACCCUGGGAGGAACAGGGCAGAAGGGGCUCUGGGAAGCCAUCCGUCUCACUCCGUAAGAGGAUCAAUCUGGCUGCAGAUAUGACCAGAGAGCCUGCAUCGGAUGUCGGACAAUACAAUAAAGGAACAGCAGUCAAUCAGCAGAGCUAGAAGCUUGUCUCAGCCACAAGGAAGACCCCAAUCCCACCUCCAAGCAGAGUUCUGUGAGGCUAUGACGAUAGCCUUGUGCAGUGGCUAGCAAGGAAACAGUCAAGAACACAGUCAUCACCAGCCUGCUUCUGUCCCCUGGGAGGUUUUAUCUAACUACACAGAAGCUGUGGACCUACAGUGACAAAUGCCUAUGCAGCUAUCAGCUGCCUCCCAGAAGUUGGGGUGAGAAGGCACACCUGGCCAAGGCACACCCCUUGUCAGCUGACCAGCAGAGGCUCAGGUGGACUCACCCAGCUGGUGGGAAAUGGAUCUGUCAACAGACAUAAGAGCGAGCCGGCUUCUCUUCACAUUCCUAAUUCUGCCACCGGGUCUUAGUUCAUUGUCUGCCCCCCCAUCCAGUUCUACAUACAAGAGACCCAUCGAACCCACCCUUCAAGAGCCCACAAUGAGCCAGAUGUAUGUGGCCAGGCAAGAAACACAAGGACAAAUGUGCAGGAGAUGUUCUUUCUCACCAAGGAGGCAGCUCUCAGCCCAGCCCUGCUGGCCCACUUCCUCAGACAGGGCCUCGCCAGUUGUGUGGCAGUCUCCUCCUAACUGAAACAUGGCAUGGGGAGGCUCAUGAGACCCGAGAAGUAAAUGACUCACAAGUCUCAGGAAGUAUCUGGAAUGAGAUUCACAAGGUGCCUCCCUAGGGUUAUGGAAGCUGUACCCAAGAGAAUCUCCAACCAGUCAAGAUUCAGGAGAGCAUCUGAGCUGCCUGAGGGAGACGGUCUCCUCCUGUCCAGCUGCCUGGAGCCUUACAGAGAGCUCUGGGGGUGCAGCUUUUGUGAGUCAGCACCAGGCUGGGGUGGGCUCUUGAGUGGAACAGCUGCCUUUGAGUCGUCCACACUCCUGUAAGUAACCACCAUAAACUCACUGGUUCACCAAAUUGGACUUUCAUGAAACUGUGACCUUGGUGCAUCUCUGGCUCUCCACCUAGAUAAAUAGACAUUUGUUCAUGUCUUGAC